UAGGGAAUCUUCCACAAUGGACGCAAGUCUGAUGGAGCAACGCCGCGUGAGUGAAGAAGGGUUUCGGCUCGUAAAGCUCUGUUGGUAGUGAAGAAAGAUAGAGGUAGUAACUGGCCUUUAUUUGACGGUAAUUACUUAGAAAGUCACGGCUAACUACGUGCCAGCAGCCGCGGUAAUACGUAGGUGGCAAGCGUUGUCCGGAUUUAUUGGGCGUAAAGCGAGUGCAGGCGGUUCAAUAAGUCUGAUGUGAAAGCCUUCGGCUCAACCGGAGAAUUGCAUCAGAAACUGUUGAACUUGAGUGGCAAAAGAGGAUAGUGGAACUCCAUGUGUAGCGGUGGAAUGCGUAGAUAUAUGGAAAAACACCAGUGGCGAAGGCGGCUCUCUGGUCUGCAACUGACGCUGAGGCUCGAAAGCAUGGGUAGCGAACAGGAUUAGAUACCCUGGUAGUCCAUGCCGUAAACGAUGAGUGCUAAGUGUUGGGAGGUUUCCGCCUCUCAGUGCUGCAGCUAACGCAUUAAGCACUCCGCCNGGGGAGUACGACCGCAGGGUUG
rnacentral:rRNA from 1 species